rnacentral:rRNA from 1 species
CCUACGGGUGGCAGCAGUGAGGAAUAUUGGUCAAUGGACGCACGUCUGAACCCGCCAUGCCGCGUGCAGGAAGACGGCUCUAUGAGUUGUAAACUUCUUUUGUACGAGGGUAAACUCAGAUACGUGUACCUGUCUGAAAGUACCGUACGAAUAAGGAUCGGCUAACUCCGUGCCAGCAGCCGCGGUAAUACUGAGGAUUCACGCGUUAUCCGGAUUUAUUGGGUUUAAAGGGUGCGUAGGCGGGCGGUUAAGUUAGAGGUGAAAUCCCGAGGCUCAACUUCGGAAUUGCCUUUGAAACUGUUCGGCUAGAGAGGAGGAGCGGUAGGCGGAAUGUAUGGUGUAGCGGUGAAAUGCUUAGAGAUCGUACAGAACACCGAUUGCGAAGGCAGCUUACCAAGCUACUUCUGACGUUGAGGCACGAAAGCGUGGGGAGCAAACAGGAUUAGAUACCCUAGUAGUC